UACGUAGGGUGCGAGCGUUUGUCCGGAAUUACUGGGCGUAAAGAGCUCGUAGGUGGUUUGUCGCGUCGUUUGUGUAAGUCCACGGCUUAACUGUGGGAUGGCAGGCGAUACGGGCAUAACUUUGAGUGCUGUAGGGGGAGACUGGAAUUCCUGGUGUAGCGGUGAAAUGCGCAGAUAUCAGGAGGAACACCGAUGACGAAGGCAGGUCUCUGGGCAGUAACUGACGCUGAGAAGCGAAAGCAUGGGGUAGCGAACAGG
rnacentral:rRNA from 1 species